AGGGGAAAUGAAGUCCUGCAAGUAGGGGAGUGGGUGCUUAGGGGUUUGAGGAUUACUACAGAAUCUCUCAGUGUGGAAGAACUAAACUUAGGACUCUCUGCUGAGCACUACAGUCCUGAGACAACAAAACAUGCACAGGAAGGAAUCCCCUUGAGUGGAGGUACAAGGCAUCUCAACAAAGAACCCAGGACCCAACUCAUGCAAGAAGAGGGGAGAAGCCACUCUGAUUAGCAAGCACCAGGGAGGGACAACAUAACUAUCUACUAUAGUUCCCACAUCCAGUGCACUGAAGCAGCCACAUCCCUUUUUCUGCUGAUGCUGAUUUUUUUUACAUCAUAUAUCCGUUGGGUACCUAAUGGAGAAGUAGCCACUUCUGUGCAAGAGAAAGAAACGUUUUAAUGAAUUUCAAUGUCAUAUGUUUUAUUUGUAAAAGUGCCUUGCACACUUUCCUGAUUACUGUACCCAUACAUCAUAUGCAAAUAGUGUAUUAUGUUCUAAUGAAUUGGACACUUAAUUUCUAAUGUCAUUCUUGUAAGCUAAAUGAAGAUCUUUUUGGUUUAUUGUCUUUUACUUUCACAUCAGUGCAGAUCUAGUCUGGAAUAGAAUCAGUUUUGUUUUUCUUUUAUUCUCUAUUUUUACAGCAAUGUUUUCAUCAGAUGCCAAGUAAUCAAAUAUAGACAUUCCUCUUGUCAGUGUUUAUCAUCACGACUUUUAAUUCAAGGUCAAAAAGCAUCAUGGAAUAUCCGCUAAGGCUUUCUAUUGAUUUUCAGGAAUGUUAAUUUUGAGAAGAAAUGGUUCAUAUCCUUUGUGUAUUCACAUUGCGUACUUUGGAUAUUAAAACAAUGA